AAUUUUGGACAAUGGGGGCAACCCUGAUCCAGCCAUCCCGCGUGUUCGACGAAGGCCGUCGGGUUGUAAAGCACAUCUGGCAGGGAAGAACAGGCGCCGGCUAAUACCCGGCGCCGCUGACGGUACCUGCAGAAUAAGCACCGGCUAACAACGUGCCAGCAGCCGCGGUAAUACGUAUGGUGCAAGCGUCAAUCGGAAUUACUGGGCGUAAAGCGUGCGCAGGCGGUUCGGCAAGAAGGAUGUGAAAUCCCGGGGCUUAACCUCGGAACUGCAUUCUUAACUGCCGGGCUAGAGUAUGUCAGAGGGGGGUAGAAUUCCACGUGUAGCAGUGAAAUGCGUAGAGAUGUGGAGGAAUACCGAUGGCGAAGGCAGGCCCCUGGGAUGAUACUGACGCUCAUGCACGAAAGCGUGGGGAGCAAACA
rnacentral:rRNA from 1 species